UGAGGAAUAUUGGUCAAUGGACGAGAGUCUGAACCAGCCAAGUCGCGUGAGGGAAGACUGCCCUAUGGGUUGUAAACCUCUUUUAUAAGGGAAGAAUAAGUUCUACGUGUAGAAUGAUGCCUGUACCUUAUGAAUAAGCAUCGGCUAACUCCGUGCCAGCAGCCGCGGUAAUACGGAGGAUGCGAGCGUUAUCCGGAUUUAUUGGGUUUAAAGGGUGCGUAGGCGGUUUAUUAAGUUAGUGGUUAAAUAUUUGAGCUAAACUCAAUUGUGCCAUUAAUACUGGUAAACUGGAGUACAGACGAGGUAGGCGGAAUAAGUUAAGUAGCGGUGAAAUGCAUAGAUAUAACUUAGAACUCCGAUAGCGAAGGCAGCUUACCAGACUGUAACUGACGCUGAUGCACGAGAGCGUGGGUAGCGAACAGG
rnacentral:rRNA from 1 species